rnacentral:rRNA from 1 species
ACGGAGGGCGCAAGCGUUAAUCGGAAUCACUGGGCGUAAAGCGCACGUAGGCGGCCAGAUAAGUCGGGCGUGAAAGCCCUCGGCUCAACCGAGGAAUUGCGUUCGAUACUGUUUGGCUUGAGUCCUGGAGAGGGUGGCGGAAUUCCGGGUGUAGGAGUGAAAUCCGUAGAUAUCCGGAGGAACACCGGUGGCGAAGGCGGCCACCUGGACAGGUACUGACGCUGAGGUGCGAAAGCGUGGGGAGCAAACAG